GAUGAACGCUGGCGGCGUGCCUAAUACAUGCAAGUCGAGCGAACAGACGAGGAGCUUGCUCCUCUGACGUUAGCGGCGAACGGGUGAGUAACACGUGGAUAACCUACCUAUAAGACUGGGAUAACUUCGGGAAACCGGAGCUAAUACCGGAUAAUAUAUUGAACCGCAUGGUUCAAUAGUGAAAGACGGUUUUGCUGUCGCUUAUAGAUGGAUCCGCGCCGCAUUAGCUAGUUGGUAAGGUAACGGCUUACCAAGGCAACGAUGCGUAGCCGACCUGAGAGGGUGAUCGGCCACACUGGAACUGAGACACGGUCCAGACUCCUACGGGAGGCAGCAGUAGGGAAUCUUCCGCAAUGGGCGAAAGCCUGACGGAGCAACGCCGCGUGAGUGAUGAAGGUCUUCGGAUCGUAAAACUCUGUUAUUAGGGAAGAACAAAUGUGUAAGUAACUAUGCACGUCUUGACGGUACCUAAUCAGAAAGCCACGGCUAACUACGUG
rnacentral:rRNA from 1 species